rnacentral:rRNA from 1 species
UUUAUGGAGAGUUUGAUCCUGGCUCAGGAUGAACGCUGGCGGCGUGCCUAAUACAUGCAAGUCGAGCGAACGGACGAGAAGCUUGCUUCUCUGAUGUUAGCGGCGGACGGGUGAGUAACACGUGGAUAACCUACCUAUAAGACUGGGAUAACUUCGGGAAACCGGAGCUAAUACCGGAUAAUAUUUUGAACCGCAUGGUUCAAAAGUGAAAGACGGUCUUGCUGUCACUUAUAGAUGGAUCCGCGCUGCAUUAGCUAGUUGGUAAGGUAACGGCUUACCAAGGCAACGAU